rnacentral:rRNA from 1 species
UACGAGUGGUGCAAGCGUUAUUCGGAAUCAUUGGGCGUAAAGGGUGUGUAGACGGCAUGUUAAGUCAAUUGUUAAAUUCUUCGGCCUAACCGGAGGCAAACAAUAGAUACUGGCGUGCUAGAGGGUGGAAGAGAGAAGUGGAAUUCUCGGAGUAGCGGUAAAAUGCGUAGAUCUCGAGAGGAACACCAAUGGCGAAGGCAGCUUCUUGGUCCAUUUCUGACGUUGAAACACGAAAGCUAGGAGAGCAAACAGG